rnacentral:sRNA from 1 species
UUCUUUUCUGUUUUUUUCCUGUGCAUCUUUAUCUCCUACCAUCAUCAUUCCAGGAGGUCCCAACCACAGCUUCCUCCUAUGUGGACAGUGCUCUGAAGCCCUUAUUCCAGCUUCAGAGCGGACACAAGGAUAAGCUCAAACAAGCAAUAAUUCAGCAGUGGCUAGAAGGCACUCUCAGUGAAAGCACUCAUAAGUACUAUGAAACCGUGUCAGAUGUAUUAAACUCUGUGAAGAAGAUGGAAGAGAGCCUGAAAAGGCUGAAACAAGCCAGAAAAACCACUCCCGCCAACCCCGUCGGUCCCAGUGGUGGCAUGAGCGACGACGACAAAAUCAGGCUGCAGUUGGCCCUAGAUGUUGAGUACUUGGGAGAGCAGGUAACCCAUCAGCCGCCGGCAGCUCCAGCGAGCCUGAAACCAAAUUCUGAGAGCCGGGCAGUUACUUGGUGGCUCACGUGAUCCCAGAGAUGCUGUCACAGUGGCUAGGGAAUUGCUUCCUGUGUUAAGACUAGGAGUCGGGGCUCCCAGAUUACUUUGCCCCUAGGCAGUAUGAGAAGGCAAUAUGAGAAUUCCCGUUUUGAAGUCUGGUGGCGUGCUCUCUGGCGCUGUUGCCAUCUGCUUGUUUCCCCAGUG